UAUAUUAAAAAUACAUGUUAUUGUUGAUAUAUUUUUGAAUAGAUUGAUCCUGGUUUCUUUCAAAUAGAUUGAUCCUGGUUUCUUUCAAUGCCUUUCAAAUGAAAAAUCCAGAGACUAAUUUUUUUAAUGCUAAAUCUUUAGGUUUUCCAAUUGCUUGUAAAUUAAUAGCAAGUAUUCACUAACCUUUCCUUAUUUGUCCAUAAUUUUGUAGCAUUUCACAAUUUUUUUUUAAACGGCAUUAAUGGAAAUGUAGUCAAUAAAAAUAUCAGCAUUUAAACCUUUCAAAUGAAAUGAAGAAAAUUUGGUGUCUGUUUCAUAUCAUAUUAUAAACUAUUGUUACAAAAUAAUCUAGGAUAAUUUUAUACUUGGUACUAGUAUAUAUUUUUUACACAAGAUGUUUAACCCUUUUUUAUACAAGACAUUUCUUUUUGUAAGAAUGAGACAGUUGGGAGUUAAAGUAAAGUCAGAGAAUGUUGUAACAGUAUAUGUUCUUUGACAAACUCAAUGCACUUUGAUAUGUUUUGAUCUGAGAUAACAACAUUUCAUUAAAUUUUAAACCUCUAUGUGACAAUGCAAAGAGAAGAAAAAUGUCAUCAUAAAAAGUAAAUGAGAAAAAGAUUGUCAUAUCCAACACUCUAUUGGUGACGGUCAAUAGUUAACAAUUAUAUAUUUCCAAGAAGCAAUCAACUGUUGCAGGAUUUUAUGUCUAUUUUUUACUGAUAAUGAUUCCAUAGGAGAUAAUUUUAUAUAUUUUUUCUAGUCCAGUGCCUUUAGAUGCCAUAUAAAUAUAAAUUAAUACCGGUUAUAAAAUGUGAGUUACUGAUAAAAGCCUGAACUGAAAAUGUGAUUCUUUUAUAAUGAUAUGAAGUCCUUCACUGAAAAUGGUAUUCACUAAAAAAUACCCUGAAAAUGAUAAGAUUCACUAAAAAAAGCCAUGACUUAAAAUGUAAUUUGUUAUUACUAAACCCCUAAAAAGAAAACAGAAAUAGAUCCAUUUAUGUCUUCAAUAUGUGAUAUUUUUCACUAUUUAUAACUCAUGUAGUUGAUCAAUGCAAGAAUAAGCAAGAAGCUUGCUUCAGUAUUUACUAACAUAUUAGCAAUGACUCAUGUAUUACAGAAGGGUAACUUAAAAGUUUUAUACUUCAUUAAACCAUUUCUUGUUUGUUAUUAUUAGUUUUUUGUUUCUUUUACAAUUAGAAUACUAUAAAAUUAAUUGUUUUGUUACUAUAUUUUUUAUGUUGCACAUGUACAAUAGAAGUUUGACGUCACUACAAAUAACCCAUUAUGUAUGUGUAAUAUUGUAUGACCAUGUUUACGUCACUACAAAUAACCCAUUAUGUAUGUGUAAUAUUGUAUGACCAUGGAAAUAGUCACUACAAAUAACCCAUUAUGUAUUUGUAAUAUUGUAUGACCAUGGAAAUAGCUAGCUAUCACUUUUAUGUGUACUUGGUAUUUUAUUUUUAAGCACUUAUUUUGUAUAGCUUCGAUAAAAAUCCAACUUCAUUCCCACUUAGUUGAUUUUUACCGUGCACAAUUAUAUUUUUACCUUCCUUAUAAAAUUAUUUAUUGCCACAAAAUCGCAAAUGAAUUUGGAUUUUGAUAAUUAUAUAUAUAAUACACACAUAGCUGGACAGAUGUAUAAAUUAGAGUUUUCAUGACAACUCUUAGAGACCAGCUGACACCACAACUUCAUUUGUUAAGCUUAAUAAAGUCAUAAACACUCAACAUUAUACUAUUCUAAAAGGGAGACUGAUCUUGUAAAUUACAGAACAUUUGUAAGAAGGACUACAAUAUUUCCAUGGUACAAGAUUUAAAGUAUAUUACAGGAUUAGUAAUUAACCUGUUUGGUUUUCAAGAAAAUGUACUUUUCAUUGUCUGUGAAGAGGUAAUUAUUGUUAUAUUUUUUAUGAAAAUAAUUUUUUUAUCUGCAGGGAUAAAUACAGCAUUUUAUUAACAUUAUAUAUAAUAUUAGAUUGGAAUAAAAUCAAACACAAAAGGAUAUUCAAGUCCAGCUUUAUUUAGUAAUGAAGAUAAAAAAUUUUGGUUAGAAACAAAAUUCUAAGUUUGUACAACCAAAUAUUAUUUUAGAAAUAUCAUAGCUAUAAAGGUAGAAAAAUUGAAAAGUUUCAAUUAAAAUAUUUUAUUAUUUAUCUGUCAACCAAUUAAUUGUUAUUAAUGUAAAUUGACAAACAUUACUAUUAGGUUACAAUUGAUUAAGUUUUAUCAACCAAUUGAGGCAAUUGUUAGCAUUGCAUUGUGCACAUCCAGAUUUUUUACUAUUUUUGCAAUAAAAUUAAAUAAAACUAA
rnacentral:lncRNA from 1 species